CCAUAGCUAUGAAUGAAAAAGUUAAUUUUGGUCAUGUUUCUCCUCUACCCUCCAUUUGCUAUCAAAAUCUAACCGUUCACGUACCCAAUGAGAUUUUGAAGCCAAUAUACUGUUCCUCUCCGUAUAUGCCCUAUGGCCUAACUUUGUGUGGGGUGUCCAGCCCUAUAAUGGAGGUUUGAGUUCAUAAUGGGUGUGGGGAUGGCAAUGAGGCAGGUG
rnacentral:lncRNA from 1 species